GAAAGCAUUAAGUGAUCCACCUGGGGAAUACGAUCGCAAGAUUGUAACUCGUAGGAAUUGACGGGGGCCCGCACAAGCGGAGGAACAUGUGGUUUAAUUCGAUGAUACGCGAGGAACCUUACCUGGGCUUAAAUGCAGUACGACGUUUCGGGAAACCGGAGUUUCUUCGGACGGACUGCAAGGUGCUGCAUGGCUGUCGUCAGCUCGUGCCGUGAGGUGUCGGGUUAAGUCCCAUAACGAGCGCAACCCUUAUCGUUAGUUGCCAGCGGGUAAUGCCGGGGACUCUAACGAAACUGCCGGUGUAAACCGUGAGGAAGGUGGGGAUGACGUCAAGUCAGCACGGCCCUUAUGUCCAGGCCAACACACGUGUUACAAUGGUCGGUACAAAGGGCAGCUACCUGGCAACAGGAUGCUAAUCUCGAAAACCGAUCUCAGUUCGGAUUGAAGUCUGCAAUUCGACUUCAUGAAGCUGGAUUCGCUAGUAAUCGCGCAUCAGCCACGGCGCGGUGAUACGUUCCCGGGCAUUGUACACACCGCCCGUCAAGCCAUGAAGCUUGGGGUACAUGAAGCCCGUAACCGCAAGGAGCG
rnacentral:rRNA from 1 species